GUUGUCAAUUGGGAUAAAUAGAGCAAAUAGUGAGUUCAGGUUGACUUAAUUAAUAUUAUUUGGAACUGACCUUUUAUUAAUUAGGACAUUUUGGUAACACUAAUAAUGGGUCAAUAGCUCUGGUAGAACAAAUAUUAUGGUUGGUACCACUUAAGAUAUUUGUUUCCACCACUUUCUAACCACACAUAUGCUACAAGGCUUGUGGUCCACAUGUUACUACCUUAUUGUUACCUACCAUAAGCCAUUUGGUUUCUAUGUAUCAGAAAGCAUAGAAAGAAAGAGGAAGCUUAAGAGAAGAAGGAGAGCAAGGCUAGUGGAGAAGAAGAAGAAGAAGGAAAGCUUGGAACCAACACCAUCAUCUUCAUCCUCAUCUCAUCUUCAACAACUUCUCCUCUUCAAUUUCUUGAGGUGGUUCUGAGCAGGAUAAGGGUAAGGGCAAGAUAGAGUGAUGUCUUGCUUACCUGAGGACUGGUGGCUUUUCUUCCGCUAUGUAGAUAUUUUUUGAGAUCAUUGUCUAAUGAUCUAGAUCAGUAGUUUUAUUUUGGGCACUCUUAUGUACAUUUAUGCCAUAUUAUGUUAUUUUGGGCAUGUAUUGUAUAUGUAUGAUGUGCUUCUAGGCACUUAUGUAUUUCAGUACCAGUUUUACACUAUGUAUAAUAUGUAUUCUAGACA